UUUAUGGAGAGUUUGAUCCUGGCUCAGGAUGAACGCUGGCGGCGUGCCUAAUACAUGCAAGUCGAGCGAACAGACGAGGAGCUUGCUCCUCUGACGUUAGCGGCGGACGGGUGAGUAACACGUGGAUAACCUACCUAUAAGACUGGGAUAACUUCGGGAAACCGGAGCUAAUACCGGAUAAUAUAUUGAACCGCAUGGUUCAAUAGUGAAAGACGGUUUUGCUGUCACUUAUAGAUGGAUCCGCGCCGCAUUAGCUAGUUGGUAAGGUAACGGCUUACCAAGGCAACGAUGCGUAGCCGACCUGAGAGGGUGAUCGGCCACACUGGAACUGAGACACGGUCCAGACUCCUACGGGAGGCAGCAGUAGGGAAUCUUCCGCAAUGGGCGAAAGCCUGACGGAGCAACGC
rnacentral:rRNA from 1 species